CCACGAGGUGGGUGCCAAAACUAUUGGUGGAGGACGGCCCCAAAGUGGACUCCGUCACAACAGUCGGAAAGUCUUGCUUCGAAGGGGUAGGAUCCCCCUCAGGCGAAGCCAAAUAGGCAAGUGUCUAUCCUAACUUCUUUCUAGUGGGCCAAAAUUAAAACGAACUAAGAACAAUGAAUGUAGAACCGUAAAGAACAAUAAAUGCAAAUAGAUUUCAUUAACUUCGGAUCAACCAUCCCAUUAAUUACAGUGGCGCCUAUAUUUAUAAGGAGAUCAACCGCCACAAAGUAACUACAAUCUAUCGUUACCCAACGGUUAGAUUCCAAGAAUAUUUCGGGGUACAAUGGGAAAUACGGCCUUCGUAUGGACUACUCCAGCUGUCUCCUCGUAUAACCUCUUUGACCACGUGGUGGCAAGUGCGGCAUCCUGCGUGCAUAUGGCUUUGGAGGCCAAGGUACACUUCGCCCAUGCCCCUUGUUCCCCACCAUCAGUGAUAGGUCGUUGAGCCACAUGAAACGCUCGAUGCCUUUGUUUGAAGUCUCAAAAGAUAUACCCCCUCCUCUGUGUCUCGAAGAAGUCCUUAUUCGGUUAAGGACCCUUCAUUCACGUCCUUCUCUCCCCU
rnacentral:lncRNA from 1 species